GCGCUGGUGCUGGAAUUGGCAGACAGGCAUGCUUGAGGUGCAUGUGUCGCAAGACGUGGAGGUUCAAGUCCUCUCCAGCGCAC
rnacentral:tRNA from 1 species